rnacentral:rRNA from 1 species
GUGCCAGCCGCCGCGGUAAUACGUAGGGGGCGAGCGUUGUCCGGAGUCACUGGGCGUAAAGGGCGUCUAGGCGGCUUGACGCGUCGGUUGUGAAAGGGGGCGGGCUCAACCCGCCCGGGGCGACCGAAACGGUCAGGCUGGAGGGCCGGAGAGGGAAGUGGAAUUGCCGGUGUAGCGGUGAAAUGCGUAGAGAUCGGCAGGAACACCAGUGGCGAAGGCGGCUUCCUGGACGGUACCUGACGCUGACGCGCGAGAGCGUGGGGAGCGAACGGGAUUAGAUACCCCGGUAGUCCACGCUGUAAACGAUGGGUGCUAGGUGUGGCGGGUAUCGACCCCUGCCGUGCCGGAGUCAACACACUAAGCACCCCGCCUGGGGAGUACGGCCGCAAGGUGAAACUCAAAGGAAUUGACGGGGGCCCGCACAAGCAGUGGAGCAUGUGGUUUAAUUCGAUGCUACGCGAAGAACCUUACCCGGGCUUGACAUCCCUGGAAGUGCGCAGAGAUGCGUACGCGCUUCGGGGGCCAGGAGACAGGUGCUGCAUGGUUGUCGUCAGCUCGUGUCGUGAGAUGUUGGGUUAAGUCCCGCAACGAGCGCAACCCUCGUCCUGUGUUACCACCGAGAGGGGGACUCACAGGAGACUGCCGGGGUCGACCCGGAGGAAGGUGGGGAUGACGUCAAAUCCUCAUGGCCCUUAUGCCCGGGGCCACACACGUGCUACAAUGGCCGGUACAGAGGGCAGCGAUAGGGUGACCUGGAGCGAAUCCCCAAAGCCGGUCUCAGUCCGGAUCGCAGGCUGCAACUCGCCUGCGUGAAGGCGGAAUUGCUAGUAAUCGCGGAUCAGAACGCCGCGGUGAAUACGUUCCCGGGCCUUGUACACACCCCCCGUCACACCACGAGAGUCGGCAACACCCGAAACCGGCGCGCCA